rnacentral:rRNA from 1 species
UACGUAGGGUGCAAGCGUUGUCCGGAAUUAUUGGGCGUAAAGAGCUCGUAGGCGGUCUGUCGCGUCUGCUGUGAAAUCCCGGAGCUCAACUCCGGGUCUGCAGUCGAUACGGGCAAACUGGAGUACUGCAGGGGAGACUGGAAUUCCUGGUGUAGCGGUGAAAUGCGCAGAUAUCAGGAGGAACACCGGUGGCGAAGGCGGGUCUCUGGGCAGUAACUGACGCUGAGGAGCGAAAGCGUGGGGAGCGAACAGG